CCCGGGGGAUUUUUUUCCCCACAUGGGAAAGGGGCUUGCGGGAGAACAGUCUGCACCACAAGCCUCCAGUGCAGGGCAGCGGACUGACUCCAUGGACCCACCGGGUUAGGGGUGGUCCGGGCGUACCCAGCACCUCGCUAGCUGCCUACCUGAGCAUCCGGUCCACCUCGGCCCGCUGCUCCGCGGCCUCUUCGGUGUUGAGUGCCUGCAGUUCCUUGAGGAUGGGAGGAGUGUCAUAGUCGUCCCCGUCCUCCGAGCCCUCGUCCCCAGACAAGCGGCCCUUGGCGUGGCCAUUGGUGAGAGUAUGGAAAACCGGUUUGGUGUCGAGAUCCGUCCUGCUGCCGGGGGAAAGAGGCAGCGUCUCCAGUUUCACCCCGAAGUUCGGGGACGGCAGUAACUCCUCUAAGGCCUGGACCAGCACUUCCUUGGUGACUCCAGAGCUCAGCAACGCGCUCAAGAGUUCUUGUUGGAGCGACGUGAGCUUGGACACCAUUUUCCAAGGACGGAAAAAGAAGGGGGUGAGGGGAUGGGUGGGUGUGAGAGAGGAGGGUGGAGGGGAGUUUUACAAGAGAACUCUAAGUCCUGGAACCCCUCCACCCUUUAGCCUCCAGACACCUGUUACUCCCCAGGGUCCCGGAGUCUCCUCCGAGAGGAGUCAGAAAACUUCUAACUUGCCAUGAUCGCCACCAUUAGGCCAUAUAAGAUAUGCAAAUGAGUGGGAAGGGCUCGGCUUUCGGCAAGAUGCAAAUGGUGGUGGGGAGGGGGAAAAACCGAGAGAGUGGGAGAACCUAAGGGACAGUCCAACGGAGCCAGAGACUUGGGCCGGGAUCGGGACUUGCCAGGGCCCAUUGUACUCACCCUUGGGGGGGCUCCAAAUCUUUUCUACCGGUUCUGUUUAUCAGCCAAACUUUAGCUGACCUUUGGACUUGUUAAGCAAGUGGCUUGCAGCCUAGGCUGGGUGGGGGUGGGGGGCUGCUUUUCCACAGGCGGAGGUUCAACUUUAGUGGAGAAAGAAGAAACCGCGCUUCGGGGGUUCAGGUCUGGCCCGGAAGGAAACCAUCAGCCUUUCGGCGCGGCAGGAGUUUCUGCCACAGCUCCCCUGGGACCCGGAGAGGAAGAAAGGAGGCACAGGCCGCACCCAGACCUCCAGGCUGGGACCUGACCUGAGGGGUAGAGACUGCUUCAAUCCAUACACAGUAAUAGCUCUCCGGGGCGGAAGCCACUUUGAACCUUGGUUCCUCCCUUUGUGAAAUACAUUCCUAAUAACCAGGAGGCAGGGAAGGUGUAGACGCUGAGGAAGACCACCUGUGCAAAACUGGCUAACACUUGUGUUCACACUUUCUAGUCCGUGAAGGUGGGAGGCCAGUUCCCAGUGGUAAAAUCUAGCCCUUUAGAAGCUUGGGGUUCUCAGAAUCAGAGACACUGAGGUUGGAAGAACCGGGCAAAGAAGGACAAAAGUUCAGACCUCUCGGGAGAGCAAAGGAACUUCUAAGCACAUUCUCUUAACUGCCUGCACUUUCAAAAGCAGCGGAUUAGGAGGAAAUUGCGGUUGGGUCAGAGGUAGAGAUGAAUAUUCACAAGAGAGAAGAGAGUGGCCCGCAGCCCUCCUCUGCUAGGCGCAGGGUCAGACCUCCCAGUGAGCCAACUCUGGUGAGUCACGCUGCAAGGGUGAAGAUUCUGUGGAAGGCGGAGCAGUGACUGGUACCUGGAUCACCUGUGCUUGGAGUCUGGGAGAAGGAAGGGGUGGGUGCGGGUGCGUGCAUGGGAUCCCAAGGGUUCACAGAAGGGAGGGGGAGCUUCAUUUCACCUUUCUUUCUAGUUUGUUGUGACAUAUGAGAGAUCCUUGCCUCCUGUGAUCCUGCCCAGUAGGAGAAUUCUCUGCCUCCCAGCGCCACUCAGGCAGGAUGAUGAAGUGUUCGAAGUAAAUGUCCCUGAGCCAAGAACAUUGUUUUCGCUGCCUCUUACUCAAUAUAAGUAAUAUAAUAAAGUAUAAGGAGCAGCA